CACUAAAGAUUGAUGACACAGAAGCUCACAUGGUAUCACAUGUCUCUGCAUCUCUGAAGACUGAGCAUGUAGCCUUUCUUUUAACCUGAAUUCCUGUUUACUUACAUUUGUAGGCAGUGUCGAACAGAUUGAGCACAGCUCGAUUAAUGUGUCAUACACAGCAAGGGGUGACACAGGUUCAAUUGAAGUGCUUGAAGGUGAAGGGAAUGCCAUGGCUCAUAUUCAAGUUAUGGAAGCACCAAUUUGAAGAUGUCCUUUGCUUAUCGCUCAUCAUGCCAUGCUGGAAAGUCUUCUGUUUUCUGGUGGGCAGCCUGGCAGCUUCCCUUUUGUUUUUUAUACAAGGCCUCUACACCAGCCGGGCAGGCCACAACUGGUGAAACUGGCUUGGAAAGUCCCAGAUCCACAACUCUGUGAAAGGGAACAUGUGCCAGCGAGAUGU